UGUGGUUGUAGCUCAGUGGUAGAGCCUUGCCUAGCAUGUGUGAGGCCCUGGGUUCAAUCCUCAGCACAUAA
rnacentral:tRNA from 1 species